rnacentral:rRNA from 1 species
CCUACGGGCGGCAGCAGUGAGGAAUAUUGGUCAAUGGACGAGAGUCUGAACCAGCCAAGUAGCGUGAAGGAUGACUGCCCUAUGGGUUGUAAACUUCUUUUAUAUGGGAAUAAAGUGUUGCACGUGUGCGAUUUUGUAUGUACCUUAUGAAUAAGGAUCGGCUAACUCCGUGCCAGCAGCCGCGGUAAUACGGAGGAUGCGAGCGUUAUCCGGAUUUAUUGGGUUUAAAGGGUGCGCAGUCGGAAUGUUAAGUCAGCGGUAAAAUUUCGGGGCUCAACCCCGUCGUGCCGUUGAAACUGGCGUUCUUGAGUGAGCGAGAGGUAGGCGGAAUGCGUGGUGUAGCGGUGAAAUGCAUAGAUAUCACGCAGAACUCCGAUUGCGAAGGCAGCAUACCGGCGCUCAACUGACGCUGAUGCACGAAAGUGUGGGUAUCGAACAGGAUUAGAUACCCCAGUAGUC